UUCCGACUUCUACACCACCGGUGGGAGGCCUACCUUGAACAACCUUAACUCACAACAGCAACUAUCUUACAGGACCCCCCACGUUGGAAUUUUACCCGACUCUCGAUGACUGGAUUGAUCGGUAAACGAUCUCUGGCAGAUUUUAAACAACAAAAUUGUUGCAAAUUACAGAUGAAUUCUACAAUCCCAUUUCUGGACCUCAAUCUAUAUCCUGAUCCCAGAUCCCCUCC
rnacentral:lncRNA from 1 species